UACGUAGGGGGCAAGCGUUGUCCGGAAUCAUUGGGCGUAAAGAGCGCGUAGGCGGUCCGGUAAGUCCGCUGUGAAAGUCCAGGGCUCAACCCUGGGAUGCCGGUGGAUACUGUCGGGCUCGAGUCCGGAAGAGGCGAGUGGAAUUCCUGGUGUAGCGGUGAAAUGCGCAGAUAUCAGGAGGAACACCAAUGGCGAAGGCAGCUCGCUGGGACGUGACUGACGCUGAGACGCGAAAGCGUGGGGAGCAAACAGG
rnacentral:rRNA from 1 species